rnacentral:rRNA from 1 species
UGUAAGCGUAUACCAAAGUUGUUGCAGUUAAAACGCUCGUAGUCGGAAUUUGGCAGUUCCGGAUGUGUGCACGUCGUGUGCGCACUUCGCGGGGAUUGCUUUUGUGGUCUUGCGUAGGAUGAGGCACUUUUAUUCGUGAACGUCGUUCCGCAGCCACUCUUUACUGUGAGAAAAUCAAAGUGCUCAAAGCAGGCAUUUGCCGUGAAUGUAUUAGCAUGGAAUAAUAGAAUAGGACUCGGUUCUAUUUUGUUGGUUUGUUGGGGCUGAGUAAUGAUUAAGAGGGACAGUUGGGGGCAUUUGUAUUUCGGCGCUAGAGGUGAAAUUCUUAGAUUGCCGAAAGACAAACUGCUGCGAAAGCGUCUGCCAAGGAUGUUUUCAUUGA